UAGUAUUUAUUGUGGGUAGGGCUAUCAAUGGGUCAGUGGACCCAUGGGACCGGAGCAACUGACCCGAUUUAAAUGAGCCAGGGUCCAAUUUCCACACCCAUUCCAAAAAACUGAGUUGGGCUCAGGUCCUGUUCUUUAUACCCAUUAAGAAAAUGGAUACAAUCAAGUUGGUGGUAUGUUAUAAUAAUUAUACAAGCUAAACAAUUAAUAGGGUUAGGUUUUUCAUGAGGAAAUGUACAAGUGGGACUGGUUGUGUUCUACUAUCCAUUAGGUAUCCAUCAAGUCUUUUGAUUUGGGAUUCGAGUAGGGUUUGGGGCAAAUAAAAGCAUUAUUUACAUGGUUUAGCCUAUAAUGGGUGGAUUAAAUGACACAUAUAUCUAUAUAUUAUAUAUGGUGUGUAAAUGGGUAAGUUACAUGCUUGCAGCUUAAGAAACUUCAUUUCUUGCUAGAAUCAUUGAAAGUAAAUUAUAUCUCAGUGGAUCUGAACAAUUAAGAAAGUUUCAACAGGUGAGCAUUGAGAACUCAACUGUCAUUGUAGCGUGGAUAUAUAUACCACAGGAGAGUUACAAGCUAGCAAACAAGGAGUCUGCUCGGGUGGGCCCCUUCGUGAUUAGUUUCCAAAUAUCCUAAACUUGUGUCAAGAACAAUAAAUAAUUAAAUAAUUAAAUAAAAAACUACUAGCCUUAUGACGUGCAAAAUUAUAAAUCCCCCUAAUUUAGCGGUUAACAUUUUCAUUAGUAGGUUGGCUAAGUCCAUAUGCGUGUACAAUGCAGCCUACCAUCUACACACUACCCACAUGUGCCAACGUGGUAGACAGGUGCAAUAUUCAAGACAUCCAUUGGUUCGGUCAAACCAUAUAGAUCAUCAUCAUCUAAGCCUUCUCCCAACUAAAUGGGUUGGCACUCUGACCAUUUAGAUGUUCUCGCCAAAAAAUUAGGCUGGUCCAUUAGGUUGCCACCAUGUUAGAAACAGUUGGAUGGCUUAGAAAAUUCUGCCAAAAAUUUCUCAGCGAUACACUUAUUUCAUGAACUGUGCCCCACCUGAUUAGUGGACCAAACUGAUUCUUGGGAAUGCAAAUCAUCAGAGUGUGGCGCUUCCAAUGGGUGAAUCGGAACUCAUAGCUAUCUGCCAUGUCAACACAUGUGGUGAGCUGCCUUAGCCUGACCUGAAAAUACAAGGGUUAAUGACAAUCUGGCAUUUUCUGAAAAUUUCUCUUUGUUGGGUUAACAAUAAUCUAUAAAGAUUUUAAUUGGAAACUGCCAUAUCUUUCUAAAGUUUGCCUCUUACCUCUCAUUUGUGGAUUUUCUCUGGAGGAAAGGUUUUGUUAGUUUUGUGAAUUUGUCACUUGACAUGGCAAUGUGCUUUCUAUGUAUAAGAACUUGGUAUAGAUAUGAUGAACCUUUAUGCGUUAGUAUUUGGAGAAUCUGUUCUAAAUGAUGCAGAAUGUAUUUAUAUCUCCUAAUAGGAAUGAUAUUACAAAGAAACAGAUCAAGCUUGACCUUAGCCAACCUGAGGGUGCAAGACACUGGUGGUAUUGCUCUCCCCCAACAAUGGUUCAAUUUGAUUGUUGUGGCAUUUGGAAUCAAGACAUGACCCAUUGGGCCCCAUUUCAACUAGGACCGGGACCCAUAAUUGCACUUGCUGAGAGCUUGAGUCCUGCAAUUGCCUAAGAAGUUUCAUGCCAAGUUUCUAAAUUAUGUUCUUGGUAUCUCGUGUUUAACUCUUUUCUCUUCUCUCAAUUUUUUUUUAUUAUUUUUUUUUGAUUUUGUU